rnacentral:snRNA from 1 species
GCAGAAACCUGCUAAUACACAUU